GAACGCUGGCGGCGUGCCUAAUACAUGCAAGUAGAACGCUGAAGCUUGGUGCUUGCACCGAGCGGAUGAGUUGCGAACGGGUGAGUAACGCGUAGGUAACCUGCCUGGUAGCGGGGGAUAACUAUUGGAAACGAUAGCUAAUACCGCAUAAAAUGGAUUAUCGCAUGAUAAUUCAUUGAAAGGUGCAAAUGCAUCACUACCAGAUGGACCUGCGUUGUAUUAGCUAGUUGGUGGGGUAACGGCUCACCAAGGCGACGAUACAUAGCCGACCUGAGAGGGUGAUCGGCCACACUGGGACUGAGACACGGCCCAGACUCCUACGGGAGGCAGCAGUAGGGAAUCUUCGGCAAUGGACGGAAGUCUGACCGAGCAACGCCGCGUGAGUGAAGAAGGUUUUCGGAUCGUAAAGCUCUGUUGUAAGAGAAGAACGAGUGUGAGAGUGGAAAGUUCACACUG
rnacentral:rRNA from 1 species